rnacentral:rRNA from 1 species
UACAGGGGGGGCAAGCGUUGUUCGGAAUUACUGGGCGUAAAGGGCUCGUAGGCGGCCAACUAAGUCACACGUGAAAUCCCCAGGCUUAACCUGGGAACUGCGUGUGAUACUGGAUGGCUUGAAUCCGGGAGAGGGAUGCAGAAUUCCAGGUGUAGCGGUGAAAUGCGUAGAUAUCUGGAGGAAUACCGGUGGCGAAGGCGGCAUCCUGGACCGGCAUUGACCCUGAUGAGCGAAAGCUAGGGGAGCAAACGGG